AAGAAAAUACAUAAAUUCAUAAAAUAAGUUAACCAGAUACACGAAGAGAGCGAAAUCUGCAAACAACACUAAACACCAUUCGCGUUUAAUGAAGCUAAUUAAACAGACAAGCAACAAAAUGAGUGAUUUCAGAAGGUACAAGACUUAAUUUCAAUUGCAUUAAGGAAAUGAUGACAAGUAACUACAACAAAUAAGCUCUAAAUUGAACGCAAAUAAAACUAGAGUGAAGCAAAGCCAACUGCUCUAGGAAAAAAUGCAAGAAUAAUUAUAAGAAUUCAUCAGCAUUAAUGCUGAUUACAUGCAAUAAAAUAGUACGUCUAUAAGUAUCCGAUGGCGGUAAUAAUAGCUGAUUCAAUUAUUGCAAAUUUUGUAUCAGUAAUUGGACAUUUGGAACAUUUCUUAACAAAAAUACCGGACUGCAAAAUUAAAAAAAAACCCAUUUAAUCUCAAAUACCAAAUUGAAAAAUAGAAUUUGACAAUUUUCGACGUGAGAUCGAUUGCCUUAAGGGCAGCAUUAGUGAAACGUUUUAUUUUAAUUAAAUCGUUGAAAGAAU